rnacentral:rRNA from 1 species
GGACUACCAGUGGCGAAGGCGCCUGACCAAAACGUGUCCGACGGUGAGGAACGAAAGCUGGGGGAGCGAACGGGAUUAGAUACCCCGGUAGUCCCAGCUGUAAAUAAUGCGGACUGUGGUGUUGCUUCAGAGUUAAUCUGCAGCAGUGCUGUAGCGUAGGUGCUAAGUCCGCCGCCUGGGGAGUACGGCCGCAAGGUUGAAACUUAAAGGAAUUGGCGGGGGAGCACCACAAGGGGUGGAUGCUACGGUUUAAUUGGAUACAACGCCGUGAACUUCACCAAGGGCGACGGCAGAAUGAAGGCCAGACUAAAGAUCUUGCCUAACAAGCCGAGAGGUGUUGCAUGGCCAUCGUCAGCUCGUGGCGUGAGUUGUCUGGUUAAGUCCAGCAACGAGCGAGACCCAUACCAUUAAUUGCUACUUUUACCUUUAGUAAGAGGCACCUUAAUGGGACUGCCCGCGUUAAGUGGGAGGAAGGAGUGGGCGACGGUAGGUCAGUAUGGCCCGAAUCCCUUGGGCUACACGCGGCAUACAAUGGCUGGAACAAUGGGUUGCUACUCCGAAAGGAGGCGCUAAUCCCCUAAAUCCAGUCUUAGUUCGGAUUGAGGGUUGAAACUCACCCUCAUGAAGCUGGAAUCCCUAGUAAUCGCGUGUCAUCAUCGCGCGGUGAUACGUCCCCGCUCCUUGCACACACCGCCCGU